rnacentral:rRNA from 1 species
AUUGAACGCUGGCGGCAGGCCUAACACAUGCAAGUCGAGCGGAUGAAGGGAGCUUGCUCCUGGAUUCAGCGGCGGACGGGUGAGUAAUGCCUAGGAAUCUGCCUGGUAGUGGGGGAUAACGUCCGGAAACGGGCGCUAAUACCGCAUACGUCCUGAGGGAGAAAGUGGGGGAUCUUCGGACCUCACGCUAUCAGAUGAACCUAGGUCGGAUUAGCUGGUUGGUGGGGUAAAGGCCUACCAAGGCGACGAUCCGUAACUGGUCUGAGAGGAUGAUCAGUCACACUGGAACUGAGACACGGUCCAGACUCCUACGGGAGGCAGCAGUGGGGAAUAUUGGACAAUGGGCGAAAGCCUGAUCCAGCCAUGCCGCGUGUGUGAAGAAGGUCUUCGGAUUGUAAAGCACUUUAAGUUGGGAGGAAGGGCAGUAAGUUAAUACCUUGCUGUUUUGACGUUACCAACAGAAUAAGCACCGGCUAACUUCGUG